AUAUUUUUGGUAACGGCUGGCUGCGCCUUUUGCGCAGGUGUUCACAAGCCGCAGGGGAAUGAAGGUGAAAGUCCUUCGCUAUACCAGUAACCGUAACUUCGAGCAGCCCUCGAUCAAGUCGGAAUGCCUGCCAGCCUGCGCCCUGGAUAG
rnacentral:ncRNA from 19 species